AUUGAACGCUGGCGGCAGGCCUAACACAUGCAAGUCGAGCGGAUUUUGGAGGGCUUGCUCUCCAAGGUUAGCGGCGGACGGGUGAGGAAUACGCAGGAAUCUACCUAGUAGUGGGGGAUAACGUUCCGAAAGGAACGCUAAUACCGCAUACGACCUACGGGUGAAAGCAGGGGACCUUUCGGGCCUUGCGCUAUUGGAUGAGCCUGCGUCGGAUUAGCUGGUUGGUGGGGUAAAGGCCUACCAAGGCGACGAUCCGUAGCUGGUCUUAGAGGAUGAUCAGCCACACUGGGACUGAGACACGGCCCAGACUCCUACGGGAGGCAGCAGUGGGGAAUAUUGGACAAUGGGCGAAAGCCUGAUCCAGCCAUGCCGCGUGUGU
rnacentral:rRNA from 1 species